rnacentral:rRNA from 1 species
GGAGAAUGUUAUCACGGGAGACACACGGCGGGUGCUAACGUCCGUCGUGAAGAGGGAAACAACCCAGACCGCCAGCUAAGGUCCCAAAGUCAUGGUUAAGUGGGAAACGAUGUGGGAAGGCCCAGACAGCCAGGAUGUUGGCUUAGAAGCAGCCAUCAUUUAAAGAAAGCGUAAUAGCUCACUGGUCGAGUCGGCCUGCGCGGAAGAUGUAACGGGGCUAAACCAUGCACCGAAGCUGCGGCAGCGACGCUUAUGCGUUGUUGGGUAGGGGAGCGUUCUGUAAGCCUGCGAAGGUGGCCUGUGAGGGUUGCUGGAGGUAUCAGAAGUGCGAAUGCUGACAUAAGUAACGAUAAAGCGGGUGAAAAGCCCGCUCGCCGGAAGACCAAGGGUUCCUGUCCAACGUUAAUCGGGGCAGGGUGAGUCGACCCCUAAGGCGAGGCCGAAAGGCGUAGUCGAUGGGAAACGGGUUAAUAUUCCCGUACUUGGUGUUACUGCGAAGGGGGGACGGAGAAGGCUAUGUUGGCCGGGCGACGGUUGUCCCGGUUUAAGCGUGUAGGUGUGUGUUCCAGGUAAAUCCGGUUCACUUUAACACUGAGGCGUGAUGACGAGGCACUACGGUGCUGAAGCAACAAAUGCCCUGCUUCCAGGAAAAGCCUCUAAGCAUCAGGUAACAU